AAUUUCUUCUAGUUUGUCUACAGUGUUUAUUUUGUCAGCUAUUUCUUUCAUUGAUAAGUAAUUUGAGUAUUUACAUACACUAGUUAUAUACGUUUGAUUUCAUAUGUGAAAUUCAUCCAUACUUAUAGAUUCUCCUGGUAAAUUUGUUGCUGGUGUUCUCCCUAUCAGUUGUUUUGUGGGUCUAUGUUCAUACUUUGAUUCAUAGCAAAUUGUACAGUUUCUCGCAAAGUGUCUAAUUUGUUUUGACAUAUCCGGCCAAAAGUAUUGAUGUUUUAUUUCUAUUAAAUUGUUUUUCUCAUUUCUAUGUGCUCUAUUAUAUAUGUUUGUUAUAAUUUCUAUUUGUUUAUUUGUGUCUGUUAUGUCUGCUGUUAAAUUUUGUGCUAUAAAAAGUUUGUAACUUAAAAAAUUUUUAGUCAGUAGUGUUUUUAUUUUAAACAGUUGUUGUUCAUCUACUUUAAUUGCAUUAUUGUAACUUGGAACUAGAAUCUCCUUUAAAGUUUUUGUCAGGUAUUCAACUUGAUUUUUCGUCUGAGAUUUUCUUAUUAGCUUUAUGCUUUAUGGCGUUGACUACAGUUUGGAUAUGUUUGGAUAUGUUUAAUGUGUACUUCGGGUGUGAAGAAUAAAUUAACACGUCGUCGAUGUAUACAAACGCAAAUUUAUUUAUAUAAUCUCUCAGAAUAUCGUCAACACAUCUUUGGAAGAUAGAGGGUGCAUUUUUUAAUCCAAAAUGCCUGUAUUGUCACCAUUUACGUCUGGGAUAGGAUAUCUGUCUGAUGUCGAAUCAUUACAUCCGUGCAUGGAUCGGCAAACAUACGAAAGAAAAUUACGUGAUACGUCAAUCGUAUGCGGUGAUUGGCAUUGUGACAUACGAU